rnacentral:lncRNA from 1 species
UUUUGAGUUCUCUUGGACUUUGCAGAGAAAGAGGGAGAGAGAGAUACAGAGAGAGGUCUAAAUGGAAGGUGUUUUACAAACAAGAGGGCUUCUUUCUUUGCCUUCUAAACCCAAAAUCAAGGCUUUUUACCCAUUGCCUCAAGGGGGUCUAAGGAACAGAUUCAAUUCUUUAAGUAGUUUAAAGCCUAAUCCUCUUAAUGGGGUUUCUUUAUCUUCAAAUGGGUUUCAAAAAGUUCAAGGCUUUGACACAAAGCCUCAGUUGUUUGGCCAAAAGAAGAGGUGUUUUCCAAUAUGCAAAGCUGAGGCUGCUGCUGCUGCUGGUGCAGCUGAUGGACAGCCACUUUUUGUUGAAAAGGAGCAACCUAAGUUUAUGGGGAUUGAACUUGUGACCCUUAAGAAAAUUAUACCACUUGGGGCGAUGUUCUUUUGUAUUCUGUUUAAUUAUACAAUCCUUAGGGAUACUAAGGAUGUGUUGGUUGUAACAGCUAAAGGGUCCAGUGCUG